rnacentral:rRNA from 1 species
GUGGGGAAUUUUGGACAAUGGGGGCAACCCUGAUCCAGCAAUGCCGCGUGCAGGAAGAAGGCCUUCGGGUUGUAAACUGCUUUUGUACGGAACGAAAAGGCUCUUGUUAAUACCUGGGGCACAUGACGGUACCGUAAGAAUAAGCACCGGCUAACUACGUGCCAGCAGCCGCGGUAAUACGUAGGGUGCAAGCGUUAAUCGGAAUUACUGGGCGUAAAGCGUGCGCAGGCGGUGCUGUAAGACAGGCGUGAAAUCCCCGGGCUUAACCUGGGGAUGGCGGUUGUGGCUGCAGUGCGGGAGUGUGGCAGAGGGGGAUGGAAUUCCGCGUGUAGCAGUGAAAUGCGUAGAUAUGCGGAGGAACACCGAUGGCGAAGGCAAUCCCCUGGGCCUGCACUGACGCUCAUGCACGAAAGCGUGGGGAGCAAACAGGAUUAGAUACCCGAGUAGUCC